rnacentral:tRNA from 1 species
CAAGACGUAGCUAUAAAUCCCAAAGCAUUCAGCUUACACCUGAAAGAUACCACCAUAAACGGGGUCGCCUUGA